rnacentral:lncRNA from 10 species
AUCCCAGCACUUUGGGAGGCUGAGGUGGACAGAUCACAAAGCCUGAGAAGCAAGAGGCUGGGAAAUGAGACAUAUGGGGAGAUAGGAGCUUUUAAGAGGAGCUGCUCUGUAUGCUGGGCAAUAAGGAAUGCUAUGUGCAUUCUCUGGGCUAGAUGCAUGCUUACAAAAGGCCUCAGAAGGCCCUAAGGUUAUCUGGCUUUCACCUCCAGCAUACCUUCAUGCUAACAGGAAGUGCAGGCUGAUGCAGAGUUGAAAAUGGCCUAGCUAGGCAUUGAAGGAGUGCCCCCACAGAGAGCCAAUCUGCAAUGACCAGGAGAAUGUGCAUUCUAAGCACG